CCUACGGGCGUCUGCAGUGGGGAAUAUUGGACAAUGGGGGCAACCCUGAUCCAGCCAUGCCGCGUGUGUGAAGAAGGCCCUCGGGUUGUAAAGCACUUUCAGUGAGGAAGAACGCCUGGUGGUUAAUACCCAUCAGGAAAGACAUCACUCACAGAAGAAGCACCGGCUAACUCCGUGCCAGCAGCCGCGGUAAUACGGAGGGUGCGAGCGUUAAUCGGAAUUACUGGGCGUAAAGCGCGCGUAGGUGGCUUGAUAAGCCGGUUGUGAAAGCCCCGGGCUCAACCUGGGAACGGCAUCCGGAACUGUCAAGCUAGAGUGCAGGAGAGGAAGGUAGAAUUCCCGGUGUAGCGGUGAAAUGCGUAGAGAUCGGGAGGAAUACCAGUGGCGAAGGCGGCCUUCUGGACUGACACUGACACUGAGGUGCGAAAGCGUGGGUAGCAAACAGGAUUAGAUACCCGAGUAGUC
rnacentral:rRNA from 1 species